AACGAACGCUGGCGGCAUGCCUAACACAUGCAAGUCGAACGAGACCUUCGGGUCUAGUGGCGCACGGGUGCGUAACGCGUGGGAACCUGCCCUUAGGUUCGGAAUAACUCCCCGAAAGGGGUGCUAAUACCGGAUAAUGUCUUCGGACCAAAGAUUUAUCGCCUUUGGAUGGGCCCGCGUUGGAUUAGCUGGUUGGUAGGGUAAAAGCCUACCAAGGCGUCGAUCCAUAGCUGGUCUGAGAGGAUGAUCAGCCACACUGGGACUGAGACACGGCCCAGAAUCCUACGGGAGGCAGCAGUGGGGAAUAUUGGACAAUGGGCGAAAGCCUGAUCCAGCAAUGCCGCGUGAGUGAUGAAGGCCUUAGGGUUGUAAAGCUCUUUUACCCGGGAUGAUAAUGACAGUACCGGGAGAAUAAGCACCGGCUAACUCCGUG
rnacentral:rRNA from 1 species